AUUUUAAUAGCUUCUUAG
rnacentral:misc_RNA from 1 species